GUUUUGAGUGGGGAGCAUUGUGGAGAGGGAUAUUGCCUCUCAAAAAUUCGGCCAUUGGAGAGAUUUUGGAGUUUUGGUGGCUUCUACCUCCAUGGGAGCUUGAGGAGCACUCACAUCAUUGUUGUGCAACCAUUGGUGGAUUGAGACAUUUGGACCAACCGUGAGUGAUCAACCAUUGGAGCAAGCUAUGGAGCUUGAAUAGCUCAUUGGAAUUGGUGUAUAUUUGUAAAAGUGGAUUGCUGAAACUGUUGGUGAAGAACAAAGGUCGACUGAAGCAUUGAGGUAAG